AGGGGUUUAGCUCAGUGGUAGAGCACGUGCUUAGCAUGCACGAGGCCCUGGGUUCAAUUCUCAGUGCCUCCA
rnacentral:tRNA from 1 species